CCUACGGGUGACAGCAGUGAGGAAUAUUGGUCAAUGGGAGAGAGCCUGAACCAGCCAAGCCGCGUGAGGGAAGACGGCCCUAUGGGUUGUAAACCUCUUUUGUCGGAGAACAAAACCCGGGACGUGUCCCGGACUGCGUGUAUCCGAAGAAAAAGCAUCGGCUAACUCCGUGCCAGCAGCCGCGGUAAUACGGAGGAUGCGAGCGUUAUCCGGAUUUAUUGGGUUUAAAGGGUGCGUAGGCGGGUUAUCAAGUCAGCGGUAAAAUCGUGGAGGUCAACUCCAUCCAGCCGUUGAAACUGAUGGUCUUGAGUGGGCGAGAAGUAUGCGGAAUGCGUGGUGUAGCGGUGAAAUGCAUAGAUAUCACGCAGAACUCCGAUUGCGAAGGCAGCAUACCGGCGCCCGACUGACGCUGAGGCACGAAAGCGUGGGUAUCGAACAGGAUUAGAUACCCGUGUAGUC
rnacentral:rRNA from 1 species